rnacentral:rRNA from 1 species
AUUGAACGCUGGCGGCAGGCUUAACACAUGCAAGUCGAGCGAGCGGCGGACGGGUGAGUAAUGUCUGGGAAACUGCCUGAUGGAGGGGGAUAACUACUGGAAACGGUAGCUAAUACCGCAUACCAUCAGAUGUGCCCAUAUGGGAUUAGCUAGGAGGUGGGGUAAUGGCUCACCUAGGCGACGAUCCCUAGCUGGUCUGAGGGGAUGACCAGCCACACUGGAACGGAGACACGGUCCCGACUCCUACGGGAGGCAGCAGUGGGGAAUAGUGCACGAUGGGCGCAAGCCUUAUGCAGCCAUGCCGGGUGUGUGAAGAAGGCCUUCGGGUUGUAAAGCACUUUCAGCGAGGAGGCGUUACUCGCAGAAGAAGCACCGGCUAACUCCGUGCCAGCAGCCGCGGUAAUUC